rnacentral:rRNA from 1 species
UGUCUCAAAGAUUAAGCCAUGCAUGUCUAAGUAUAAGCAACUAUACGGUGAAACUGCGAAUGGCUCAUUAAAUCAGUUAUCGUUUAUUUGAUAGUACCUUACUACAUGGAUAACCGUGGUAAUUCUAGAGCUAAUACAUGCUAAAAACCUCGACUUCGGAAGGGGUGUAUUUAUUAGAUAAAAAACCAAUGCCCUUCGGGGCUCCUUGGUGAAUCAUAAUAACUUAACGAAUCGCAUGGCCUUGCGCCGGCGAUGGUUCAUUCAAAUUUCUGCCCUAUCAACUUUCGAUGGUAGGAUAGUGGCCUACCAUGGUAUCAACGGGUAACGGGGAAUUAGGGUUCGACUCCGGAGAGGGAGCCUGAGAAACGGCUACCACAUCCAAGGAAGGCAGCAGGCGCGCAAAUUACCCAAUCCCGACACGGGGAGGUAGUGACUAAUAAAUACUGAUACAGGGCUCUUUUGGGUCUUGGAAAUUGGAAUGAGUACAAUUUAAAUCCCUUAACGAGGAACAAUUGGAGGGCAAGUCUGGUGCCAGCAGCCGCGGUAAUUCCAGCUCCAAUAGC